UCAUGCGUCUCCUAAGGUUGGUUUUUACUUGAAUACAAUAAUUUGAGAUUUGAAAAUCUUGGAGGCAGCCAAGUGUGAGCCCAGGCUUACUUGGUGAAGUUAUAGUUUAUUGGGAUAUAGAAUUAGGGAAGGUUAGGGCUGUAAGGGAUAUUAGCUAGUGGCUGGUGAUGCUUUCAAAUUAUACAGGUAGAGAUGACUAGCUGUUGGUUGGUUUCUUUUGGUUUAAAUGCUGGGUUUAGCUUUUGUUGUGCAGUUCUGGAACGUUCAACCUAAAACUGUUUUGAUGCUGGUAUAGCAUUCAUGCAUAGGGUUCCACUGUUCACUUGUAGAAUUGCUAGUAUGGCUACUCUGAUUCACCCAAAUGAAUGGAGUAAACACACUUGAAUUAUUUCUUAUAUUAAUACUGUCAUUAAAAUGAUGCACUGCUUCGAAUCACACAUACCUUAUGGAUUUAAGUGUGAAGAUAAAAAGUCCAUUGUGGUUGGUCUAUCUUCUGUUCGAAUAUGCUUCCCUGUUUAUUUUGUAAAUCUGCCUCACUGCUUGUAGUUGUUGAUAGUGCUGUCAGCGGACUCUGCUUGCAUAGGUGAUCUUUAAUGUUAUUUUCCCGUCAUAUAUUAAUAUGGAAAAUGAUCAUUGCGACUUUGUGAGAGACCUUUACCCCCAUCCAAACUAAUCACUUUUUCUGCUCUUAUCUUCAAUGUUGAUUAUGUUAUGAUGCAUAAUAUUUUUCAAGUUCUGGUUAUGGCUUUUAUUUUACACACAGAUCAUGAACAUGAAAAUUGCUCUUAUUAGCAUCUAACUACUUUCAGAUUUGCUAAGCCCCCCCUGUUCCCCGAUAUAUGCUAGCAUUUGCACAUAUUUCCAUCUUUUCUCCUUGUGUUUGCCCGAGUUUUCAUAUUUUAAAAGGGGAUCACAUCAAAAUGUUGUUUUUAUCAAAUGGUUUUCUUACAGUCUUAAUGAAUCAAUCUAACUCGGAUUUUUUAAGGGUUCUAUGAAUCGAUGUGAUUUUUUUAGGGUUCUGUGAAUCCAUUCAAUCUUCUUAAUUUGUUUGUAUUAGUGAAGUCUGCUGGCUGGCUUAGAAGUUUUAAGUACCCCACCCAAUGAAAAGUCUCAUGCCCAUACCACAUAUUGUCGAGAUUGCUCACGGGAAGAGACAGUGAUUUAAAUAAUUAAUAGUCUGCUGCACUUGCAUAUGAACCGGUUCUUGUUUGGUUCAAGCCAAUUUUUAGCCGGUUCUGGCGAUGCUUGCUAGGUUAAUUGCACAAACAAACCAUAUCCUCAGACCGAACUGGUCCAAGAUUUGGCUCACCUGUUCAUUAGUUGGACUGGUCGGUCUGGUUUGAUAUCUAUGCAAAUGGGUUCCACCAUCAAUUUCUUUCAACAUUAUAUUUUAAGUUAUUUAAGUAAAUAUAUUUUUUUAUUUUUUGAAGAGUGAAUUCGGAGAAAAGAACUUGCUGACCUAAAAUGAGCAUUUCUUUUACGCAAGAGAUUAGAAAAAGUAUCAAUUACAAAGAGGGUUGAAAGCGACAGGGAGGCCCUAGGACUUGGUAGUGGGUUUAGGAGCUCCAAAGCCCAUAAGACUGUGCAUUGAAACUUGAAAGCUUUUGAUUUUGAUAGUGGCGUCCCUGUCUUCAUAGAAAUCUCGUUAACCUUAUCUCAUAAGAAGACAAUUCCAGAUAUAUUGUGCUUGCUUGUCCUUUUGCUGAUCAUAAUGUUUUCCUGAACUGGACAGGCUAUUUUUGUUGGCUUUUGCAACAGAAACUAGUGUUUAAUUAAGGGAUAUCUUUUCACUUUGUUGGACCCCUGUGACAGCCUCCAUAAGAUUUGCCUUUGCUUGUGUUUCAUGGAGGAGCAAGAUCAAAGGUGGUACAGGGCCCAUCUUUCUUAAAGAGUAAUGAUAAUGUGAUGAUUUUGCUUAGAAGAAUAAUGCUGUGAUGACGAGAAGAGAGUGUGGUAAGGUAACACCAACACCAAUGGUAAAGAUUGACAGAUUUAUGCAUGAUUUGGAAGUAGGGUUUAGGCGUAUUGGCUAAUUUGAAAAUAGCCUAGAAUGACAAGGAUUGAGCAUGGAGGAGACAAUGGCUCUCUCUCUUGUGGUAUGAUUAUGUCUUGUUCGUGAUAAAGAGAUCGUCGACAGAAGAAAGGUAAAGAUAAGGUGAGGUGACCCUUCUACUUUGGGAAUGGGGUGAACCUAAAAGUCUCCUUGGAAGCAAUUAGGAUUCGAGUCUUUGAUGAGAAAUUAUAGCUGAAAUUAGUUUUUCAAAACACAUUUAGGUUAAAAAUAUAUAUAUAUAUUAGGUGAUUUUAUUAUGAAAAAACUAAAAUUAUAAAAAAACAAGUGAAGAAAUUAUUGAUCCAAAAAUAGAUAUUGAUUUAUCCAGAUUAAUUAUUUUUUGUUAAAAAAAAUUCUCAAAGUUGAAUUGGCUAACUGGUUUCACCUUGUGAUUUUUUUCAAUUAACUUAUUAUCUAGCAUAGGUUAGUCUUCGAGUCACGGUUAUUUUAUUAGAUCAAGUUUAGCGAUAAUGAAAAAACAUCAAAUCUAAAGUCUUUUUUAGCUCAAAUGUAUCUUUUUAUAUAUAAAAAAAAAAACACUCAUAAUAUAUAUAUUUAUCAAUAUUAUUAAACUUAAUUUCACUUAACACAUUAAUAUUUGAGCUGAGUUUUCUAUCAGACUAUGUUAAAAACUAACCUAGUCAAACCUGAUAGAUCAACCCGUUACGUGGCCGAGUUUAUUUCACCCUUUUCUAAAGAAUACAAUCUUAAGACAAUAAUUUUUUAAAAUUAACUAGAAUUAAUCCACUUAAUACAUGAUAAUCGAGUCUUAGACCGAGUGGUUUUAUAACCAUCAUGUUUCUUGAAAACACUGGCCGAGAGCAACGUCAGUGGCAAGUGGUUUGCAAUGCGAGGCAAAAGGAAACGCACCGAGUGAUACUUUUCACCGCACACAUUCUAAUCCAAUUUUUUAAAGUGGAGUGUUUUAAUUGGAAUACUGAUGCUAACACCUUUCUGAAGUAUAAUAAAGAAACGAAAUAAUCAAAAAGAUUAAAAAAUAACCCAGCAGGCUUGGCCAACAAUAUCAUAUAGUACUAGCAAGUCCUCUGAGAUUCUUCAAAUGCAAUGUGACUAUACAUGUGGCGAGCAGAGAAGCAAACUACAAGGAGACUUGUGUGUAUGAUUGAUUAGUAGCAUGGAGACUUGCUGCUAUCUGUGGAUGUACAUGAAAAGGGAACUCCUCAGGUUAGAAUUGUAAUAAUAUAUAUAUGGGGACAUGAAUGUAUCUUUUUCCCUCACAAUCCCAAGACAAAUUCUUGCCUAACUUUUAUUUUUUCUCUGCAAUUUCUUAUAUUGUGUUCCAUAUUGCAGCAGUUUUUGCAGUUGUGGUUUGAAAAGUUCAAGUCUAACGAGGCUCAAUAUACAUCUCCGGCCGCAAUCAACAGCAAAAACAAACAGAGAAGUUCAAACCCAGCUCAUUAUCCUCUUAAUAUUCUGCCCUUGAAAUCAAUACAUACAAUUACAUGCAAACACAGCUAGGACUAAAGUGUUGUGUGGUAAACAAGGUGGUGAUGGAAAGGGUGAAGGAGUGGAUGAUGAACAAGUCAAUGCCAACCUUCAUGCUUACCAAGUCUUUUCUUGAAGAUAGACCUGACAAACAACAAACAAACAACUCCAAACCCCAAAGCUGCCACUCCUCCAACUGCAAUGGCCACUGUCCUCUGUGUGCGCUGCCUGGUCCCUACAUCUAUAAAACACCACACACAUCACUAGCAUUAGAAGACUUUUAUUGUAUUAUGAUUUAUGAGGCAAUAAAUAAAACCCUAGGUUUCUUUUUCUUUGA